UUUGGCGAGUUGCCAUGGGCGAAACCUGAUGCAGCGACGCCGCGUGAGGGAUGACGGCCUUCGGGUUGUAAACCUCUUUCAGCAGGGNACGAAGCGAAAGUGAAGGUACAUGCAGAAGAUGUACCGGCUAACUUCGUGCCAGCAGCCGGGGGUAUUAAACAGGA
rnacentral:rRNA from 1 species